rnacentral:rRNA from 1 species
ACGAACGCUGGCGGCGUGCUUAACCCAUGCAAGUCGAACGGGUCUGCCCUGUUUUUUGCGGGGUGGGUCAGUGGCGAACGGGUGAGUAACACGUGAGUAACCUGCCCCUCACUUCUGGAUAACCGCUUGAAAGGGUGGCUAAUACGGGGUGUUCUGGCUGUGCCGCAUGGUGUGGCUGGGAAAGAUUCACUUUUGUGGUGUUUUGGUGGGGGAUGGGCUCGCGGCCUAUCAGCUUGUUGGUGGGGUGAUGGCCUGCCAAGGCUUUGACGGGUAGCCGGCCUGGGAGGGUGGGCGGUCACACUGGGACUGAGAUACGGCCCAGACUCCUGCGGGAGGCAGCAGUGGGGGGUAGUGCACAAUGGGCGGAAGCCUGAUGCAGCGACGUCGCGGGAUGGAUGGAGGCCUUCGGGUUGUGAACCUCUUUCGCCGGUGAAGAAGGUCCUGCUCUUUGUGGUGGGGUUGACGGUAGCCGGGUUAUGAAGCGCCGGCUAACUACGUG